UCGGCGGGGAAGAAAUCGCGUGGGCUAAUACCCUGUGCGGAUGACGGUACCGGCAUAAGAAGCACCGGCUAACUACGUGCCAGCAGCCGCGGUAAUACGUAGGGUGCGAGCGUUAAUCGGAAUUACUGGGCGUAAAGCGUGCGCAGGCGGUUUUGUAAGACAGGCGUGAAAUCCCCGGGCUCAACCUGGGAACUGCGCUUGUGACUGCAAGGCUAGAGUACGGCAGAGGGGGGUGGAAUUCCACGUGUAGCAGUGAAAUGCGUAGAGAUGUGGAGGAACACCAAUGGCGAAGGCAGCCCCCUGGGUCGAUACUGACGCUCAUGCACGAAAGCGUGGGUAGCAAACAGGAUUAGAUACCCUGGUAGUCCACGCCCUAAACGAUGUCAACUAGGUGUUGGGUGGGUAAAACCAUUUAGUACCGUAGCUAACGCGUGAAGUUGACCGCCUGGGGAGUACGGCCGCAAGGUUAAAACUCAAAGGAAUUGACGGGGACCCGCACAAGCGGUGGAUGAUGUGGAUUAAUUCGAUGCAACGCGAAAAACCUUACCUACCCUUGACAUGUCCAGAAGCCCGGAGAGAUUUGGGUGUGCCCGAAAGGGAACUGGAACACAGGUGCUGCAUGGCUGUCGCCAGCUCGUGUCGUGAGAUGUUGGGUUAAGUCCCGCAACGAGCGCAACCCUUGUCGUUAAUUGCCAUCAUUCAGUUGGGCACUUUAACGAGACUGCCGGUGACAAACCGGAGGAAGGUGGGGAUGACGUCAAGUCCUCAUGGCCCUUAUGGGUAGGGCUUCACACGUCAUACAAUGGUCGGUACAGAGGGUUGCCAAGCCGCGAGGUGGAGCCAAUCCCAGAAAGCCGAUCGUAGUCCGGAUUGCAGGCUGCAACUCGCCUGCAUGAAGUCGGAAUCGCUAGUAAUCGCGGAUCAGCAUGUCGCGGUGAAUACGUUCCCGGGUCUUGUACACACCGCCCGUCACACCAUGGGAGCGGGUUCCGCCAGAAGUAGGUAGCCUAACCGCAAGGGGGGCGCUUACCACGGCGGGGUUCGUGACUGGGGUGAAGUCGUAACAAGGAGCC
rnacentral:rRNA from 1 species